rnacentral:tmRNA from 1 species
GGGGACGACAGGCUUCGACGUGGUCGGUUCGUGGGGUCGGUUGCGAGCCGGGGUGCUGGAGGCCCCGUUAAAAACCAGCACAAACACAAAUGCGGACUCUAAUCCCGCUCUCGUGGCCGAUGAGGCCCACGAGUACGCUCUCGUCUAGCUGAAACUAGAUUGAGCCUUGGCGCCCGAGGCCUACGACGGGAUCACGCCGAGUAAUAAGUAGGCUUGCCCUUCAGACGCUUGCCUGAGCCGAUGAAGGGGACUUUUGAUCAGGCUGGCCCUGACCAACCUUGCCGGUGUAGUUAGGGAUGGGCGAGAUCUAGAUCACCGGAUACGCUCGUAGACGUCGGCUUGACGCGACUGCGGACGCGGGUUCAAUUCCCGCCGUCUCCACUU